rnacentral:rRNA from 1 species
ACGCUCGACACCUACGGGAGACAGCAGUGGGGAAUAUUGCACAAUGGGGGAAACCCUGAUGCAGCGACGCCGCGUGAGUGAAGAAGUAUUUCGGUAUGUAAAGCUCUAUCAGCAGGGAAGAAAAUGACGGUACCUGAGUAAGAAGCCCCGGCUAACUACGUGCCAGAGCCGCGGUAAUCUGAGCGGGCUGGCAAGGC